rfam:Triticum aestivum genome assembly, contig: Triticum_aestivum_CS42_TGACv1_scaffold_602874_7DL
CCGAUCAAUGAUGAUGAGCUUGUCUCCCACAUCACCGCCGGCCUCGACAUGGAGUAUCGGCCCUCGUCUCUGCCAACAAUGCCCGCACCGACACCAUCAGCAUCGACGACCUCUACGCUCAGAUGAGCAACUUCGAUC